UUUUUUUUGUUUUUUUUUUGAGGAAGAUUAGCCCUGAGCUAUCAUCUGCUGCCAAUCCUCCUCUUUUUGCCGAGGAAGACUGGCCCUGAGCUAACACCCGUGCCCAUCUUCCUCUACUUUAUAUGUGGGACGCCUGCCAAGGCAUAGCUUGCCAAGCAGUGCCAUGUCCACACUGGGAUCUGAACCGACGAACCCCAGGCUGCCAAAGCAGAACGUGUGAACUUAACCGCUGUGCCAUCAGGCCGGCCCCCCAACAUGAGUAGUUUAGACCAAAUGAACCCCCUAGUGUCCAGCGGUUCUGGAGGCCAGGCGCUCUGCUUUUAAUGCCAACCACCAUCCUACCCAGAGUCAUCCUGAUGGCAGUUUUGACGCCGGGAUGGAGUUGUGAGUGGUUAAGGAAUGCGCUCAUGGUCACCCUGCUCCUAGGGCUGAGCUGGCAUUGGAAGGCAAGUCUGAGUGAGUCCUAAGCCAGGCUCUAUCUAGGGCGGGGCUGCCUCUCCUAAGGAGCACCUUGUCUGCUCUCCAGAGAGAUGAAAUCCUCACUGUUGGUGAGCAGCCCGUGGAGCCCGGGGGGCACUCCGAAAUCAGCCCAGCUCCCAGCUGCAUCUCUUCUCCUCCUCCACAACACGCCCCUCCCCACACGAGGUAACCCAAAGCCAACGAGUGAGCCUUUUGUUCCCCUCCCCAAGCUGACAUGUAUUCCUGGACUCACUGAGCAUCGUGGCUGAAGCUGAGCCUCCAAGCUCCCUGUGGGGAAGGACCAAUCUCUUCUUGAAUUUUCAGUCCAUUGUGUAUCAAUACUCUUAUGAAAUAUAAUAAAAUAAAUUUCUAGAACAAUUAAAUGAAUAAAAAGUAUGAAAUUUAUGAAAUACAAGUCAAAAUCUUUGUAUUAAAUUUUUACUUUUUGAGGUAAUUAUAUAUUCAUGUGUGGUUGUGAAAAUAAUACAGAAUGAUUCCAUGCAGGCUUUACCCAUUUUCCCUAAAAAUAACAUCUUUUAAAACUGUAGCACAGAGGGGCUGGCCCCGUGGCCGAGCGGUUAAGUUCGCGCGCUCCGCUGCAGGCGGCCCAGUGUUUCGUUGGUUCGAAUCCUGGGCGCGGACAUGGCACUGCUCAUCAGACCACGCUGAGGCAGCGUCCCAUAUGCCACAACUAGAAGAACCCACAACAAAGAAUACACAACUAUGUACCAGGGGGCGUUGGGGAGAAAAAGGAAAAAAAUAAAAAAUCUUUAAAAAAAAAAAAAAAAAAAAAAAACUGUAGCACAGAGCCAGCCCUGAUGGCCUAGUGGGUAAAGUUUGGAGCACUCCACUUCAGCAGCCUGGGUUCGCUUCCCAGCCAUGGAACCACACCACCCAUCUGUCAGUUGCCAUGCUGUGGUGGUGGCUCACAUUGAAGAACUAGAAUGGCUUACAACUGGGGUACACAACCAUGUACUGGGGCUUUGGGGAGGAAAAAAAAGAGGAAGAUUGGCAACAGAUCUUAGCUCAGGGCAAAUAUUUCUCUGUAAAAAAAAAAAAAAUUUGUCAUUUCAAGAAUGUUUCAUACUAGCC
ensembl:lncRNA